rnacentral:rRNA from 1 species
UACGAAGGGUGCAAGCGUUGUUCGGAUUUAUUGGGUACGUAAGCGCGCGUGAGCGGACCUGUCAAGUCAGAUGUGAAAUCUCGGGGCUCCAACCUCGAAACGUGCGUCUGAAACUACAGGUCUAGAAUCUUGGAGGGGGUAGGGGAAUUUCGUCAUGUAGGGGUAAAAUCCGUAGAUAUGAGAAGGAACACCAGAGGCGAAGGACGC